rnacentral:rRNA from 1 species
GCGCCGGCGACUCGCGAAUGAGUUCUGACCUAUCAACUCGAGACGGCGGGGUACGAGGCCCGCCGCGGUAACGACGGUAACGGGGAAUCAGGGUUCGAUUCCGGAGAGGGAGCCCGAGAAACGGCUACCACUUCCAAGGAAGGCAGCAGGCGCGCAACUUACCCUAAUCUCGAUUCGAGGAGGUAGUGACAAGAAAUACCGAUGCGGGACCCUACGGGUGCCGCGUUCGGAAUGAGUACGAUUCGAACCACCUAACGAGGAACGAUCGAGGGCAAGUCUGGUGCCAGCAGCCGCGGUAAUUCCAGCUCCAAUAGCGUACGUUAAAGUUGCUGCAGUUAAAAAGCUCGUAGUUGAACGUUCGGGUUCCGCGGGACGGGGCCGCCCCGCGAGGGACGGCGCCGCCCCGGGGCUCGUGAUAUCUCAUCUCGCCGCCCGUCGCGAGGCGGACGGAGGGAUGGAUGAGGUUACCUGGAAAAAAAUCGGGGCG